GACGAACGCUGGCGGCGUGCUUAACACAUGCAAGUCGAACGAAGUGGCGAACGGGUGAGUAACGCGUAAUCAACCUGCCCUUCAGCGGGGGACAACAGUUGGACACGACUCCUAAUACCGCAUACUGAAGGAGGGGAUUGCGUCUGAUUAGCUAGUUGGAGGGGUAACGGCCCACCAAGGCGAUGAUCAGUAGCCGGUCUGAGAGGAUGAACGGCCAAAAUGGGACUGGGACACGGCCCAGACUCCUACGGGAGGCAGCAGUGGGGAAACAUCCGAAAUGGACGAAAGUCUGACGGAGCAACGCCGCGGGAGUGAUGACGGCCUUCGGGUUGUAAAGCUCUGUUAAUCGGGACGCGGUACCGGAAUAGAAAGCCACGGCUAACUACGUGCCAGCAGCCGCGGUAAUUC
rnacentral:rRNA from 1 species